rnacentral:lncRNA from 1 species
AUUUGGCUUUCUACUCCAUGCAUUAUCAAAGGAGCAACUUGCACAUCUAAAAUAACCUUUGGAAUUUUUCAGCAGUCUUCCAGCAGAAGAGGAAAUUUCAGUCUCAUAUAGGGGGUGGAUCAUCAGCCACUCUGAAUAGGUACAUUGGCUUCUGGAGAACUGUAUCCACUUACAUCAACUGAAGAUGGCCAUCUGUGAGCAAACAAAAAUCUGCUACCCCUUGUAUCUGAAUGAAGAAUUUCGGAUAUCAGUGACUAAAUAAGCUGGCAUUGGUGGUAGAACGUGUGGCAGAGGAGAUUAGUCAAAGGCUGAUGAAACAGAAAGUGCUGCACCUUGAUUUUUUGGGUACCUUUUGGGAUUAUAACUCUUGGCAUUAUUCCAGCUAACAUGGAUCAAAUUACCCGCUGCUUCUGACACUACAAAAUGAAAAAUUAAAGUUGAGAAAGAACAGAAUGGCUUGGAACCAGAAUAGCAAAUUGUAGUAAGAUACCAGCUCUGCUUCUUUCUGGAGCUGAUGAGACCUUAGCAGCCACUUAACUGCCAGUGUCUCUUGCAAGAGCGACAGCAUAAAGAAUAACGGCAAUGGAGAGACAAGGGAGAGUCUGCAAAGCGUGGAAGAAGGAAAGAGAGACCAAAGGGACAACCAGUCUGCAGUCUGCCAUAAUCAAUUCACAAGAUAAUUUCAGAAUGAUGCAGAAUCCAGAAACAAUUCCUUUUAACCAGAUUGUCCUUGAAUAAACCCGUAUCUACCCAGGGAACUCCAGAGGUGGCCACUCUCUCUGGGCACAUCUUGAACUACAGAUUAAAAGCUACAGACAUCUGGAUUUGCCAAGUGCAUGACAAAGUCUUGCUAAGGAUGGAUUAACUGCACACAUACCACUGAGUUCUUCCUCAUACUUCGCUUCUCCACGUAUUUCUUUUAAAAUGAUGACUGCUAUGACAAUGAAGAUAGGCAAAUUAAUGAAAAAAAGCUCUAUGAAAUCAAAAAAAGUUUCAGUCAAAAUUUUAAUACCUACAGAACUGAAACACCUGUGAGCUGUUAUCUGGAAAAUAACGCAAUGAACUUAUUCAGGAAGUAGAACAAGAAAAGGAACAAAAAUAAAAAAGCUUCCUUAAACUACA